CCCCCAUCUUUGCCCCCCAUCUCACCCCAUAUUUCCCCCCGCCCCCCGCAGGCUGUCGGCCGGCCUGCUGCGCCAGGCCACGUACACGACGACUCGCCUGGGGAUUUACACCGUCCUGCUGGAGCGGCUGGCGGGGGCCGACGGGACCCCCCCGGGGUUCCUCACCAAGGCGGCCGUCGGGAUGACCGCGGGGGCAACGGGGGCCUUCGUGGGGACCCCCGCCGAGGUGGCGCUGAUCAGGAUGACGGCGGAUGGGAGGUGAGGACCCCCACCCUCACGGGGGGACCCCCGGCCAUUGCCACCCAAUGGGGAGUCGCGAUGUUGGGGGGUCUGCAUCCAAUGGGGAGCCGUGAUAUUGGUGGGCUGAGGGUCUGCAUCCAAUGGGGAGCCACAAUACUGGGAAGUGGGGGUCCUGGUCCCCAAUAUUGGGGUCUAUGGGGCCUAUGGGAAAUAAGGGGGGGUCCUGGUCCCAAUAUUGGGGGUGGGGGGUCAAUGGGGGUCUUUGUGGGGACCCCCACCGAGGUGGCGCUGAUCAGGAUGACGGCAGAUGGGCAGUGAGGACCCCCACCCUAAUGGGAAGACCCCCCCAGCCAUUGCCACCCAAUGGGGAACCACGAUGUUGAGGGGUGGGGGAUGUGCAUCCAAUGGGGAGCCACGAUACUGGGAAGUGGGGGUCCUUGUCCCCAAUAUUGGGUGUGGGGCGUCAAUGGGGGUCUUUCUGGGGACCUCCGCUGAGGUGGCGCUGAUCAGGAUGACCGCAGAUGGGAGGUGAGGAUCCCCGGAAAUGGGGAGACCCCCGCCCUCAUGGGGGGACUCCCACCCUAAUGGGGAGACCCCCAGCCAUACUCAUCCAAUGGGGAGCCAAGAUGUUGGGGGGUUGGGGGUCUGCACCCAAUGGGGAGCCACGAUAUUGAGGGGUGGGGGGUCUGCACCCAAUGGGGAGCCACGAUAUUGAGAGGUGUGGGUCUGCAUCCAAUGGGGAGCCACAAUACUGGGAAGUGGGGAUCCUCGUCCCCAAUAUUGGGGGAUGACGGGGUGGUCCUGGUGGG
rnacentral:lncRNA from 1 species